GCUUAACACAUGCAAGUCGAGGGGCAGCAUGGUCUUAGCUUGCUAAGGCCGAUGGCGACCGGCGCACGGGUGAGUAACGCGUAUCCAACCUGCCUUACACUCUUGGACAGCCUUCUGAAAGGGAGAUUAAUACAAGAUGUUAUCAUGAGUAAGCAUUUUCGCAUGAUUAAAGGUUUACCGGUGUAAGAUGGGGAUGCGUUCCAUUAGAUAGUAGGCGGGGUAACGGCCCACCUAGUCUUCGAUGGAUAGGGGUUCUGAGAGGAAGGUCCCCCACAUUGGAACUGAGACACGGUCCAAACUCCUACGGGAGGCAGCAGUGAGGAAUAUUGGUCAAUGGACGAGAGUCUGAACCAGCCAAGUAGCGUGAAGGAUGAAGGUUCUAUGGAUUGUAAACUUCUUUUAUACGGGAAUAAACGGAUCCACGUGUGGAUUUUUGCAUGUACCGUAUGAAUAAGGAUCGGCUAACUCCGUGCCAGCAGCCGCGGUAAUACGGAGGAUCCGAGCGUUAUCCGGAUUUAUUGGGUUUAAAGGGAGCGUAGAUGGGUUGUUAAGUCAGUUGUGAAAGUUUGCGGCUCAACCGUAAAAUUGCAAUUGAUACUGGCAGUCUUGAGUACAGUUGAGGUAGGCGGAAUUCGUGGUGUAGCGGUGAAAUGCUUAGAUAUCACGAAGAACUCUGAUUGCGAAGGCAGCUUACUAACCUGUAACUGACAUUGAUGCUCGAAAGUGUGGGUAUCAAACAGGAUUAGAUACCCUGGUAGUCCACACGGUAAACGAUGAAUACUCGCUGUAGGCGAUAUACAGUCUGCGGCCAAGCGAAAGCAUUAAGUAUUCCACCUGGGGAGUACGCCGGCAACGGUGAAACUCAAAGGAAUUGACGGGGGCCCGCACAAGCGGAGGAACAUGUGGUUUAAUUCGAUGAUACGCGAGGAACCUUACCCGGGCUUAAAUUGCAACCGAAUAUGGCGGAAACGCUAUAGCUAGCAAUAGCGGUUGUGAAGGUGCUGCAUGGUUGUCGUCAGCUCGUGCCGUGAGGUGUCGGUUUAAGUGCCAUAACGAGCGCAACCCUUGCCGAUAGUUACUAACAGGUUAUGCUGAGGACUCUGUCGGGACUGCCAUCGUAAGAUGUGAGGAAGGUGGGGAUGACGUCAAAUCAGCACGGCCCUUACGUCCGGGGCUACACACGUGUUACAAUGGGGGGUACAGAGGGCUGCUACCACGCAAGUGGAUGCCAAUCCCAAAAACCUCUCUCAGUUCGGAUUGAAGUCUGCAACCCGACUUCAUGAAGCUGGAUUCGCUAGUAAUCGCGCAUCAGCCACGGCGCGGUGAAUACGUUCCCGGGCCUUGUACACACCGCCCGUCAAGCCAUGGGAGCCGGGGGUACCUGAAGUGCGUAACCGAAAGGAGCGCCCUAGGGUAAAACUGGUGACUGGGGCUAAG
rnacentral:rRNA from 1 species